UUAUUCCGACGCAAACUUUGCUAUGGCAGCUACUAGAGGACUACGAGUGCUUAAAACUCAAAGGACUUGGCGGCUAGUUAACUACCUAGGGGAAUAUGCGCCUUAAUCCGAUGAUCCCCGUUGAAUCUUACUGUACCUCGAAGAAGAACAGCUGGUGUAUUGCCGUCGUCAGCCUGUUGUUUGAGCAAAUAGAAACAGGCCCAAGGGACUUAGGGACCACGAAGUCAGGUCGAAAUGCCGCCAAUGGUGCUAGGGAGUGGGUGUUACAAUUCUUAUUUAGAUAUUUCGGAUCCUGUGAAAUUGAAGCUGAACUUAGGAGUAAGGGAAGAUUAAUAUGCUCCCCUGAACUGAGACUAACUUGUGCACAAACCGCCCGUCGCUCUCGCCAGGGGAGAU
rnacentral:rRNA from 1 species